AGGAGACUGGCUGCCUCUGCUCGAGAGAGAAACAGCAGAGAACUGAACAGGAUACAGGGCUUGUAUGGAGUUUCUUGGGCAGGGGGAAUGGAACUAUUCAGGGUGACGUUUUCCAAGGUGGAGACUGGUGGGAUUUCAUGCCCAGAGAGUGGGUUUUUUCCUCUGUAGGAUGGGGGUGGGGGCUGGGUCCAGCAGUUAGGGCAGUUAGAGUGUUCUGUGAGUGGAACCUGACAGUUGCAGGUCUUCAGGGGAGGGGCCUGGCCACUCACGUGGCUUGAGGGGCUUACGCUGAUGACUUAUGCAAAGCAAGUUUAUUGAGAAGUACAACAUUAUACAUACUGUUUUCAGGAGAAAAAUUGGCAAGACCAGCAGAGUCAGACAACGUUGGCAAAAAGAACACAGGAUAACUCAGACCUACGUUAUAAGAACCGCCAAAUAAUUGUUAACCAUCACUGAAGGGGAAGAGUAGGGUCCCUAGAAACUGCAACCUUGACUCUUUUGAGGAGUACCCAGGCUUUUCAGGAGCGAGUUACCACAAAGUCAUACAGCAAGAUCUCACGAGAGAUUUGUUUAGCCAAGACAUGAAAUGACUGUCUUUGCAUGGGAAGCAGAGACAGCAGCAGGUUAAGCUGGCAUGGUGGUUCACAGAAGGUGAGCAGGAGCAUGCGCAUAGAGAAGUAGAAAAGGACAGUAGUUGUGGCUGAGUCAUCCAGGUCUUGCCAAGUCCAUUCCUGGACAAGGACACAGAACUAAAGUUCCUUUUGUCCUUUCAUCAGGGCCUUGGAGAAAGUCUCGGGCUUUUUCUAGUAGAAAUAUGCAAAGAUAGAGCUAAGCCAUACAACCACGGAGUUUCAAGGAAGCCUGGAGUGCCAGAUGCAGGUUUGGGUAUAGACCAGCAAUGCCAGGAGAGCACUGUGUGCUCACAGCACAGAGGUUAACUUCCAGCUCACAGAAAUGCAAAGCCGCUGAACUUUUCCCUCAGUAACAGAUUGCGAAGUAAACGAGCUUCGACAAGCAAGUGCAUUUCCCAGGAGUGUCAGACUAACUAACGCUCAGCUGAAAAUGCUCUCCCGUGCUCCCCCUGCCCCUCCCACAAAGCUAGCUACAUUGUCUCUUUUCUUUCUUCUCACACUCCAUAGCUUUUUCUUUCACAGUGCUAUUAAUACAUGACCAUGUCAUUUCACACUGCCCUUCCUAAGGAGAGAUGUGUGUUCAGAUGCGUUUGUAUCAUGCAAGAACUCAGCCUUCCAUAGUUUUAAAACUCAUCAUCAGCUCUCUGUCCAAGUCAGA